rnacentral:rRNA from 1 species
UACGAAGGGGGCUAGCGUUGUUCGGAUUUACUGGGCGUAAAGCGCACGUAGGCGGAUCUUUAAGUCGGGGGUGAAAUCCUGGAGCUCAACUCCAGAACUGCCUUCGAUACUGGCGAUCUCGAGUUCGGGAGAGGGUGAGUGGAACUGCGAGUGUAGAGGUGAAAUUCGUAGAUAUUCGGAAGAACACCAAGUGGCGAAGGCGGCUCACUGGACCGGUAUUGACGCUGAGGUGCGAAAGCGUGGGGAGCAAACAGG